UACGUAGGGUGCGAGCGUUAAUCGGAAUUACUGGGCGUAAAGCGUGCGCAGGCGGUUCGCUAAGACCGAUGUGAAAUCCCCGGGCUUAACCUGGGAACUGCAUUGGUGACUGGCGGGCUAGAGUAUGGCAGAGGGGGGUAGAAUUCCACGUGUAGCAGUGAAAUGCGUAGAGAUGUGGAGGAAUACCGAUGGCGAAGGCAGCCCCCUGGGUCAAAACUGACGCUCAUGCACGAAAGCGUGGGGAGCAAGCAGG
rnacentral:rRNA from 1 species